GAUGAACGCUGGCGGCGUGCCUAAUACAUGCAAGUCGAGCGAACGGACGAGAAGCUUGCUUCUCUGAUGUUAGCGGCGGACGGGUGAGUCACACGUGGAUAACCUAUCUAUAAGACUGGGAUAACUUCGGGAAACCUGAGCUAAUAUCGGAUAAUAUUUUGAACCGCAUGAUUCAAAAGUGAAAGACGGUCUUGCUGUCACUUAUAGAUGGUUCCGGGCUGCAUUAGUUAGUUGGUAGGGUAACGGCUUACCAAGGCAACGAUGCAUAGCCGACCUGAGAGGAUGAUCGGCCACACUGGAACUGAGACACGGUCCAGACUCCUACGGGAGGCAGCAGUGGGGAAUAUUCGACAAUGGGCGAAAGCCUGACGGAGCAACGCCGCGUGAGUGAUGAAGGUCUUCGGAUCGUAAAACUCUGUUAUUAGGGAAGAACAUAUGUGUAAGUAACUGUGCACAUCUUGACGGUACCUAAACAGAAAGCCACGGCUAACUACGUG
rnacentral:rRNA from 1 species